rnacentral:rRNA from 1 species
CCAGACUCCUACGGGAGGCAGCAGUGGGGAAUAUUGCACAAUGGGGGAAACCCUGAUGCAGCGACGCCGCGUGAGUGAAGAAGUAUUUCGGUAUGUAAAGCUCUAUCAGCAGGAACGAGACAAGACGGUACCUGAGUAAGAAGCCCCGGCUAACUACGUGCCAGCAGCCGCGGUAAUACGUAGGGGGCAAGCGUUAUCCGGAUUUACUGGGUGUAAAGGGAGCGUAGACGGCAUAGCAAGUCUGAAGUGAAAGCCCAAGGCUCAACCAUGGGACUGCUUUGGAAACUGUGCAGCUAGAGUGCUGGAGAGGUAAGCGGAAUUCCUAGUGUAGCGGUGAAAUGCGUAGAUAUUAGGAGGAACACCAGUGGCGAAGGCGGCUUACUGGACUGUAACUGACGUUGAGGCCCGAAAGCGUGGGGAGCGAACAGGAUUAGAUACCCUCGUAC